GAUGAACGCUGGCGGCGUGCCUAAUACAUGCAAGUCGAGCGAACGGACGAGAAGCUUGCUUCUCUGAUGUUAGCGGCGGACGGGUGAGUAACACGUGGAUAACCUACCUAUAAGACUGGGAUAACUUCGGGAAACCGGAGCUAAUACCGGAUAAUAUUUUGAACCGCAUGGUUCAAAAGUGAAAGACGGUCUUGCUGUCACUUAUAGAUGGAUCCGCGCUGCAUUAGCUAGUUGGUAAGGUAACGGCUUACCAAGGCAACGAUGCAUAGCCGACCUGAGAGGGUGAUCGGCCACACUGAAACUGAGACACGGUCCAGACUCCUACGGGAGGCAGCAGUAGGGAUUCUUCCGCAAUGGGCGAAAGCCUGACGGAGCAACGCCGCGUGAGUGAUGAAGGUCUUCGGAUCGUAAAACCCUGUUAUUAGGGAAGAACAUAUGUGUAAGUAACUGUGCACAUCUUGACGGUACCUAAUCAGAAAGCCACGGCUAACUACGU
rnacentral:rRNA from 1 species